rnacentral:rRNA from 1 species
CUCGUGUCGUGAGUAUGUUGGGUUAAGUCCCGCAACGAGCGCAACCCUCGCCUUUUAGUUGCCAGCAUUCAGUUGGGCACUCUAGAGGGACUGCCGGUGUCAAACCGGAGGAAGGUGGGAUGACGUCAAGUCCUCAUGGCCUUUAUGUCUAGGGCUACACACGUACUACAAUGGCCGGUACAAAGGGCAGCCACUCAGCGAUGAGGCGCUAAUCCCAUAAAGCCGGUCUCAGUCCGGAUCGCAGUCUGCAACUCGACUGCGUGAAGUUGGAAUCGCUAGUAAUCGUAGAUCAGCAUGCUACGGUGAAUACGUUCCCGGGCCUU